GCUGGUGUGGCUCAGUGGAUAGAGCGUUGGCCUGCAGACUGAUGGAUUCUGGGUUCGAUUCCAGUCAAGAGCA
rnacentral:tRNA from 1 species